UCUCCCUAAAGGUUGAUUCCAGGUUUACCAACGGAUGAUAAACUGAGAAACAUCUUUAAAGGCCUAAAGAGAAAUACAUGUGGAACAGAAGACAUCACAAAGAGUUUGGAGAUUACAAAUGUUCGUGAACAACGUGAUGCUGCUGAAUGCCUGGAGAUGGUUUUACAUAAGAUCAACCCACAGGCCUCUAAGGUUUUCCAAGGACAGCUGACAUACACAACAAAAUGCUCCAAAGGCCACAGCAUCAAUGAAGAGACGAAUCCAUUCUGGACUCUUCCACUGUCACUAAAAGAUACCCAUGAUACAACCUACAGCGUGGUAAG